UACGGGGGGAGCAAGCGUUGUUCGGAUUUACUGGGCGUAAAGGGCGCGUAGGCGGCCAGUGCAAGUCAGUUGUGAAAUCUCCGAGCUUAACUCGGAAAGGUCAACUGAUACUGCUCGGCUAGAGUGCGGAAGGGGCAACUGGAAUUCUUGGUGUGGCGGUGAAAUGCGUAGAUAUCAAGAGGAACACCUGCGGCGAAGGCGGGUUGCUGGGCCGACACUGACGCUGAAGUGCGAAAGCUAGGGGAGCGAACGGG
rnacentral:rRNA from 1 species